AAGUCGUAACAAGGUCUCCGUAGGUGAACCUGCGGAGGGAUCAUUACCAGUGACCCCCGGCUCCGGCCGGGGAUGAUCAUAACCCUUUGCUGUCCGACUCUGUUGCCUCCGGGGCGACCCUGCCUUCGGGCGGGGGCCCCGGGUGGACACAUUCAAACUCUUGCGUAACUUUGCAGUCUGAGUAAAUUUAAUUAAUAAAUCAAAACUUUCGACAACGGAUCUCUUGGUUCUGGCAUCGAUGAAGAACGCAGCGAAAUGCGAUAAGUAAUGUGAAUUGCAGAAUUCAGUGAAUCAUCGAAUCUUUGAACGCACAUUGCGCCCCCUGGUAUUCCGGGGGGCAUGCCUGUUCGAGCGUCAUUUCACCACUCAAGCCUCGCUUGGUAUUGGGCGACGCGGUCCGCCGCGCGCCUCAAAUCGACCGGCUGGGUCUUCUGUCCCCUCAGCGUUGUGGAAACUAUUCGCUAAAGGGUGCCACGGGAGGCUACGCCGUUAAACAAGCCCAUUUCUAAGGUUGACCUCGGAUCAGGUAGGGAUACCCGCUGAACUUAAGCAUAUCAAUAAGCGGAGGA
rnacentral:rRNA from 1 species